rnacentral:lncRNA from 1 species
ACAGUAAAAUCGACAUAUCUCACUCUACACCACUCCAAAUGACCUGAAAUUUUGCAGACACCUCUAAAUUAUCAUUCCAUACAACUUUCAUGAAGACCACUCAGUCCAUUUCUCACCCUAACUAGGUCAUAUUUACCAAAACAACCCCAGAUUUUCUAGUUCGAAGCUCACUGUGGCAGUUCUGAUUCAUUCAGUCAUAACUCAGCACACACAACUCCAAAUCAAGUAAUUCCA